GACGAGGGUGUGAAGGAAGUCCGGUGAGAAUCCGGCACGGUCGCGCCACUGUGUACCCGCGCACGCGGGAAGUCAGACCCAGCACCUUCGUC
rnacentral:ncRNA from 2 species